rnacentral:rRNA from 1 species
CAGUCGCCACGGUAAUACGAAGGGGGCUAGCGUUGUUCGGAUUUACUGGGCGUAAAGGGCGCGUAGGCGGACUGAUAAGUCAGGGGUGAAAUCCCAAGGCUCAACCUUGGAACUGCCUUUGAUACUGUUUGUCUUGAGUUCGAGAGAGGUAAGUGGAACUGCGAGUGUAGAGGUGAAAUUCGUAGAUAUUCGCAAGAACACCAGUGGCGAAGGCGGCUUACUGGCUCGAAACUGACGCUGAGGCGCGAAAGCGUGGGGAGCAAACAGGAUUAGAUACCCGCGUAGUCCCUGUCUCUUAUAC